UAUCUGAAAUCAACAAGAGUAAAUAAACUUUAAAUUAGAAUCAGUCUAGAUCUGAGGUUUAAGAUUCAGAAAGGAGAUAAAGGAGAUAAUACUUCAAAAUAACUGAGAAUUUAACUUCAACAUUAAAACUUCCAAGGUGAUGGUGAAUAAUCGAGGAGCUGGAGGAGACGGAGUUCGUUAUGGACUCAACCCCUUGUUCUCCAGAAACAAUCUCAGAUUCUCUCUUGGCUAUGACUCCUGAAGAAACAACAACACGUGCAGAAGAUACAAGUUUUUCCACCAGAAACAGCAAAAACCUCACAAAUGAACAGCGACUAGCUAUUUACCACUUCUUAUUGAAGAAGAGCAACAAGGGAAGACUGCAAAAGGGCUCGGUACCAAUGGCAGCGGAACAUUUUUCAGUAUCAGAAAUGACAAUAAAACGUAUUUGGAGACGAGGUAAAGAGUCUCAAGGGCAGAAUUUACCUGUUGAUGUGUCUUCACGAAAACCAACUAGAGUUGGUGGCAAAGCUAUUGAGGCCGAUUUGAGCAAGAUCCCAGAAAUACCUCUACAACCACGACCCAGCAUUCGCACCCUUGCGAAAGCGUUGAACGUGUCAGCAACAACUCUACAUAGACGAAUGAAGCAAGCAGGCAGGAGCUAGUGAGAUCACACUCACUCAGGAGUUGAAUGCCUGAAAUCAGCAGUGGCUUCUGUGGGUCUCUGGAUGAAUUCACAACAGAUUCACUAUAUUGGGAUGGAGCAGAUGUAGUUAACCCUAAAGAAUUAUUUUUCAGUUUUCAGUAUCACUCACUUUUCAUAAACUAGCUACAAACUUGAACAAAAUGUUAUCUAAACCACGUUAUUACCUUGACU